ensembl:lncRNA
CUACCAUGAGGGUGAUCAAACACUGCAACAGGCUUCCAAGAGAGGUGGUUGAUGCCUCAUGCCUGUCAGUAUUCAAGUGCAAUUUGGACAAUGCCUUCCGUAACAUACUCUACCUUUUAAUUAUGACUGAGGUGGUCAGAUAGGACAAGGUAGUAUUUGUAGGCGUCUUCCAACUGAAUUAUUCAAUUCUACCUCCUCUAAGAAGCUAGAGCCUGUGUCAUGCCUUUAGAUGAAAAUGGCCUCAAGAAAUGGCCUCAAGCUGCGCCAGGCUGUAGUAACCACGACCAGGCUGUGUGUAGCAAGCUGAGAUUUUGACACUUCACAGGGACACAUACCAGAACAUAAAAAAGCGGCUACUGACAGCAAUAUGUUUCAAGCACUUGCAACAACUAGAAUGAAGGAGCUGUAUGCCUCCCUCUCGGUAAAAUCUCAGGAAGGAGAUAAGAGAAAAGCAGCUUCAAGUCAACCCAGGAGAGGGGGAAUUAUGGCACAGAUUUCUGCCGUCUGCUAAUUUUGGUGCAUUUCCAUGUUUAUUUCCCAUUCUGUCUUGUACAGAUUAUGAAAGCUUUAAGUUUUGACUUUACUCAGCACUUCAGAACUUUAAUGAAUAUAAGCCAAAUGCCUCAAGUCAGGGACAUAAUUAGGAAUUGGUCUCACAGCCAAAAGAAGUCUUAAAAGGCUGCCCUCCUACUGACUUUCUUAAGCAUCUGCUCAGAAAAUACUAUAAUCUGAACAACCUACUCAUUAGUGUGGGUACAUAAAGAUCUUCAACCUACUCAUAAUUUCUAUUUCUAUUCAAAACCACUAAAUCAACAUUUUAAUUAUUUCAGUAGCACAGACAUCACAAGCUUUUCGUUCUUGAGGAUGGGCAAAAACAUCAGCCUUCCCUAAUAAUUUGUUGAACAGCUAAGUUGGCUGGUAGGAGUUCAAAUUGUGCUGGCUGCAAAUGGCAGGCAGACACCUUGGUUGCCCUAGCAACUCUGUUUAGUCUGAUCAUAAGCAGAAAGAUAGAGGUAUUUUUUUUUUAAUUUUUUAAUUUUUGUACCUUUUGUAUUUAAGUUAUAACUAAUAAUAUUAACGCCUAAUACUAAUUCUUUGUAAGCGUUCUGAUUUGCUCAAAAUCAUGCUGAUGUUUUUUUUAAGGCUUCUGGGUGCUAUCCCAUAGAACUUCAAAAAAUAAUCUCCAUCCAGUGUGUACCACCUCUGCUUCAGUUCUAAACAUCUGCCAAGUAAAAAGAAUCUGGUAAUUGUCUGCCAUUGUAAGAACUAGUGGUAUCAUGGCAGAUCAGUGGCUUUCUGAUAGAAACUAUUCAUGUUCCAAAUGACAUCAAUAGCUAAUACAGAAAUUGACUAUUACAAAGUUCCCUUCUCUGUCACGUGUAUCUUCUGGUUAAAAAGAAAUCAGUACAGGAUCUUUCAAAAGCAGUCUUCAAUAGAAGACAGAAUUAACAGUCUGAGAUAUAAAAAAAUGUGUGCAUGUUUGGUUUUUUUUUUGCUAAUCAUAUAUUUGUUUCUUUAGGAAAACUGUCUUUAGGAAGUGUCUCUUUUUAGUGAAGAGUUAGACACUUAGACUUCUGAUUAGUAAGAUUAUUAAAGAGCUUUUCAGGUUCAGAAUAACUCAGAUCAUUUUUAAGUAAGAAAAGCUGAAAUGCAAUUUGAUUGCUCAGGAAGAGGUUAAAAACGGAGAAUUUCUGGAAAUUAAAUUGCAGCAUUAACUUUAAAGACAGCUCAAAGAUCUUCUGAACUUAGAUAGACACAAAUUAUGAACUUGGCUAUACAGAACGUGUAAGUGUAGCACCAUGAGAAGUCUCUACCCUAACUGCCCAUUUUUCUUAAUUCUGUGAAUAAAUAGCAUUUUCAUUGCCAUGAUGUUUCUGUGUUCCUUUUCAAAAGAUAUUUGUAUUAUCCUUUCAUGUAACUAUAUAUCAGAACAUUUUUUCACUUUAUAAUGAAACCUAUGUUUUGCAUUUUUAUGGAAGGAAUGCUAAAAUACUUCUGGCCAUAUUUUUAUGUUGUUUUUCUUGUCCUGGGCGUCACCACAGAGAAAUUGUCUUAACUGUUGCUUUUUCUUUGAUGUUGUGCUCUUUACCUGCUACCUGUUGCAGCUGUAGCAUUCCAUUUCACUUACUAUG